GGGAGGGUGGUCUAGCUUGGUAUGAUACAUAAUUUGUCAUGCCGAGUGGUCGGGGGUUCAAUUCCCCCCUCUCCCA
rnacentral:tRNA from 1 species